UAUACAUAGAGGAUACACGCGUGGCCACGGUUAGUUUCUUUUCGCCAGAGUGUCGCCGCUCGAGAGAUGCAUAAAUGUAUAUAUGUACACGUACAUAUAUACACGUGGAAAGAAACGGCAAAGAGAGGGAGAGAAAAAGAGAAAGAGAAGAACAGGGGUUAAACGGAAAGAACUCGUGUCGUCCGCUCGUGUGAUACCUCGAUCGCGGUGGGUGUCGCGAAUGACUAUGCUCUGUCCAAAAGGUGUGCGAGAGUACGCCGCGCGUGUGGGUGCUUCCCCUACCACAGCGCCACCACCACUAUCGCGAUUUCCACCACCAUCGCGCCAGGCUCUCGGCACCACCACCACGGAACCAGUGUGCACCACUGAACGCGGCGGGUAUACACCGGUAUCAGAGAGUGGCAAAUUUUUUCUCAUACUAGCUGAAACAGCUACACGACCUUUGAUUUACGUUCGUUCUUAAUACAUACUGAUGACUAUUUUAUGCACCAACAACGGAAUACGACAGACCUGGACACGGAUUUGACGUGCGAGGCUUCAUAAAAAAAUGACACAUUACGACUUAAUGAUCUAACGCGAUGGAAACGGAGGGCAUAGAAUGCCGUGAUUAUUUUGCGAAAGUGUUCAGCAAGAAAGAGGAAUUCCCAGAUAAAGAGAUAAGUAUCCAUGGGAAUACAUCAAUGAGCCGAGCGUAAUGUCGUGAAUGGAGGCGCGAUCGUGGUGGUUUCCAUUCGGUUCUCGUUGAUUCAUGACACGCGUUGAAAUGACGUAGACGUUAAAUGCGUUCGACGCGCGUACGAUGCAAAUCCGCACGUACACUCGUCGCAUACGUAAAAAAGCUGCUAGUUACACAUAAUCUAUAUCUACGAAUCUUACGAAUCAAUCAGCAAAGUGUAAUUCGCGAUUUAUUUCAGUGUCAUCCCUUGCGGGCACGUCUUACGUUCUCCUUCCCAAAAAUUACAACACGAGGCAUACCACGAUUCGAUGUGUUGCUCCCCCCGAAUCUCGCUCGAAAUCUAAAAAUAGAAUGGCGAAGGGUGUUCUCGAAAGGAAUACGGUUUCUUUUUCGUCCUUUAUUCGGCAGUUCGAACACCAAAGAUCGACCGGAUACAGAUUCGAAACCACCGGCAAGAACGGAGAGAAACGAAAGGAAAAAAAGAAACGAAGGGGGGAGAAAGAGGAAGGAGAAGAAAAGAUUCACGGAGGAGUGUUGUAUUCUCCACCUCGCCGGGUCUUGUGUUCCACCGACGGGACCAGCAGCGGCAAACUCGUUACGAAAUAGUCCCUAAGACGGGGUGACUAAUUGCUAAGCGGCUUGUAAAAAUUCGCAGGACAGUCUGUCGACAUCGUGGCGCGGCCGUCUCAUCGUCGCGCCGUUAUACUUUUUGCCCAUGCACGGUCGACUAGAGAAGAGAACGACUUGCAAGAGGGAGAGAGAUCGAGCGAUGGGGAAAAGUGGUGGGAACGACAAAGAUAGAGAGGGAGCUGCGGUGACGACGGAACGCGAAAGGGGUGUGGUGGGGGGAGGGGCGCGCAAUGGGAGUGGUAGGGGGAACCGGCGAGAGAAGCGUGAGCGUGUGAGGCCUUAAGGUGAGAAAAGAAAAAUGGCGAAGAGAGGCCGAGGCUGCGUCGUCUCGCGUUCGAAGGCGAGAGGGGACGACGCUUUCGCAGAUUCCACGUGAGAUACCUGCGGCAUUCUUCGUUCUGCAGCAGGGCAUUAAGCCGGAUGCACAUUCGUCGUGGACGACGCUCGGUGAAUUCAUUUCCAGGAAAAAUAUCUUCCGCCACGAAACGAAUUUUACGGCAGAUUUUGUUCGCGGACAGACCGCCGGAGAGCGGUUUCUUUCUUUCUCUCCCCUGUACUAUUUUUCUCCUUCUAUCCUUGUUCCUCUUGAUGCGUGAAACGGAGGACAUGGAGACGCAUGAUGUUUUUAUUAUUAUUUUUCUUGUCGUUUUUCGUGGACCGCCUCGGAACCGAGCUCCGGCAAUAAAACAUCUAAUCCGACGAUAAACCGCGCAGUGAUUCUUCCCCGCGACGACGUUUACGCGUCUCUGACACGUUUCGUGCGCGCCGCUGAUGCGCACCGAAUCGAAGGUAAUCCCUCGCGCGCUUGCAUCUCUCGCGUCUGAUUGGUUGACAAUUGACUUCGGACCAUGAGAUGGUUAAGGAAAAGCUUGCGAUUCAUACGGUCGCCUUUAUUUCUUCAUUUUCUAAUUUCUUUAUUUGUAUUACAGAAACAAAAGACAUUAAAAAAAAAUAGAGACAAUAGAAAAAUUGAAAUAUGGAACAUAGAAAAAUUUGUAAUCUUCGCAUUUUCAAAGAUAUGUAUAAAAAAGGAUGUUUUAAGAAAAUCAUUAUGUGAUACAAGGAAGGAUUGUGAAACUCGCAAAGAAUUUCCUAUUUUGCAAAUAAUUAUCGAAGAUGAUUCACGAAGAAUCGUGUCAUUGUCAACAAGAAUACUCGAGCUGAUUACAUCAUACACGCAUACGAAUUAAUUUUGCAGCUCUCCAUUAUAUCUUGAAUGUUUUUCGGUAGCCACUUUGUUAAAUAGACACAUCGACUUCGACCCUGAUACGAUCCUCGAAAUAAAGCCGUAAGGUGCAACUAAGACUAUAAAGAUUUAUAUUCGUCAUCUUUACAUCUAAUCUAAUACACUGAUACCUGCAUUAAAACCAAAAAGUGCAACAUUUAACCUAACCUAUCAAAACUUUUAUUACUUUUUUCUAUCUCUACUAUUUCAUUCAUGAUUUACCGUAAAAAUUGUUCAUUUUAAAAUCGAAAGACAACAAGAAAGAUACGAAGAAAGUUUUUGCCAGUAUCAGCGAAGAAAUUUAACUGUACGAUGGAAUAAAAAUAGUGCGAAUUGAAAUUCCGAUCGAGGUGCAGUCGAAGAUCAAAACCACAGAUAGCGAGCAGAAAAGACAGGCGAUGCUGGAGUGCCAGUGGCGCACAAAAGGACACGAAAUGAUUUAUUUCAAUGCCCUAUCGUGGCCGGCUGAAGCGUAUCGCCCACGGUGGCGUUCGAGAGAGGAUCAUUUGCGCGGGACCACACGCCGAAUGAAACAAGAAGAGGUUCAAUUACUUCGUGGAAUCAUCGAAGAUUCCUUUGCGGCGUUUCGAAUUCUGGAUUUGUCAAAUUUUUAGAAAUUAGAAAAUGAAAGAGCAAUUAAAAAAGACAAGUGGGCCAGUAUUAUAGGAAAAGUGAUCAUAGGGUUCAUAAAACAGAUAAAUAUGGAGACGGUACAAGACAAAAACGCGUAUUAAAGAUAGAAGAGAUAAAAGAAACGAUGAGAAAGAGAUACAGAAAUAAAAUGAUAAAGAAAAAGAAAAAAGAUGAGAGGAUGAUAAAUGAGAUCGAAACUGAAGAAGAUGAUAAAAAAAUGAUAAGAUCCACAGAUACAGAAUUGACGGAGUGUGGAAAAAAGAUGAACAACGAUGGAGAAAAAGAACAGACGAAAAUGAUGAAUAUGGGAAGAGAAAAGAAACAGAAAAUAAGAUAGAAAAAAGAUGGAAGAAAGAGAAAAAUAGAUAGGUGUAAAAGGAUCACCUGACCGACAACUAUUCACAGCAUAUGGCUAUGACAAAUCUAAUAGAUUCCUUGGCGACUUCGGGCGGCCCAUAAGAAGAGCCACAAGAUGCAACGAGAACAAGAAAAAGGAAUGAACGUAUAAGAGAGAAGAGUAUUUCUAUUCAACGCUCGAUGAACGGAUGUAACGCUUCGUAGUUCGUAGACCCUUCUACUGUCUGUUCUAACAAUGAUAUCCCUUUUCGUAGCCGGGUACAGAGGAGGACCGAGAAAUAAGGUUAAGUCCUGCCAGUGCUCACCUAUAACGCGCUGGAGACACACAAUGCUCAUUGUCAACUUGUCGUGGAAUGUGGGGAUCGAGGUAUGUAUUGUCGACGCACGCCAAAUGUAGAUCCCUCUUUUCGACUGGUAACAACAUUCACGCUGAGCACUAUUUGAUCCUUUCCUCUUUUGCCACUGUUAUGGCUUAUCUUUUUCUGUUGUGCAUAGGUUAUAUCAAUGCACAUCUUUGAAAGUAAAAAUGUUGGUGAGUAUGAUAAACAAAUUAAUUUUGAUAGAUUUUUUGUAGAUUUUAUAGAUUAUAGCAUCAUGAAUCAUAGAAGUACUUUUAUGGAUUAUAUUUGUAACUAUACUACUGGACUUCGCAAUUACUUUCCAUUUUUGAAGAGUGUCAUAAGAAGGUUGAAACAAAUGGAAAGAAUUAGUUUUACAAAAUUUUGGAAUUGUUCAAGAGAGUAAAAUAAUGGUAAUAGUAAUGGUAAACUAGUUACCAAAAUAUCAAAUUCAUCAGGUUUGCCAAGUUAAAGGUAUAUGUUGAAAGAGAAAGCUCUAAAUAUUCAAUAUUAGAGUAAAUAUCCAAAAGGGUGCAUAAUAUUAAUAGACAAAGUUUCAUGACAUCGAUAAGGAGUCUUCACAAAAUGCAUGAGGCGAAAUUAAUGUGACAUUAAUACUCUUGCGCCUUUGCUGAAGGCUCAGUAGGCGAGCCAGAUUAGCUACACUAUCGAUAUUUUAUUGGACACUGACUGAGAAGUAUAAAACACCAUUUAGAUUCAAUAGAUUCUAUGUACACGAGAAGCAAUGCACGUUUGUACAUCGAAUAAAAUGUUUCUAUGAGAUUA